rnacentral:tRNA from 1 species
UGUCUCGUUAGCUCAGCGGGAGAGCACUUGCUUGACAGGCAAGGGGUCACUGGUUCAAUCCCAGUACGGGACAU